GCCUUCGGGGUGUAGUGAUCAGCGCGCUCGACUCGUAUUCGAGAGGUCCGUGGUUCGAGUCUCGGCGAAGGCG
rnacentral:tRNA from 1 species